AUGGCAAUUGUCCAUACCUACGGAAAGCCUGACAUCUUCUUGACCAUGACCUGCAACCCUAACUGGGAAGAGAUAAGAAAUGAGUUGUUUCCUGGUCAGACAGCGCAAGACCGACCUGAUCUUGUGGCUCGUGUGUUCCAUGGCAAGCUAGAGGCUAUGAAAGAGCUGUUGUUCAAGAAGAAUAUCCUGGGUGUUGUUGUCGCACAUGUAUACGUAGUCGAGUUCCAGAAGAGGGGCCUCCCCCACGCACACUUUUUGUUGAUCAUGGAUUCUGCCUAUAAGCUUGUCGUUCCGGAGCAGUACGACCGACUUAUUUCUGCCGAACUCCCAGACAAGCAGAAGUAUCCUGAACUCCACGCCUUGGUGGUGAAACAUAUGAUGCAUGGACCAUGCGAUGCUCUCAACCCCACAAAUGUGUGCAUGCAACAGAACGAGUGCAAGUGCAGAUACCCGCGACCGUUCAAUGAAAACACGGCACAGGGCAAGGACUCAUACCCUGUUUAUCGUCGUCGAGAUAAUGGUCGUCAGGCUAAGGUCCGGGGUAAAAUGUUGGACAACAGAUGGGUUGUGCCGUAUAACCCUUACCUUCUGCAUAUGUUCAAUUGCCACAACAACGUUGAGGUUUGCUCCAGCAUAAAGGCCGUCAAAUACCUUUACAAGUACAUAUACAAGGGCCAUGAUAGGGCUUCUUUCAGCAUCGACCAACCCGACGCUGAUGGUAACAUUGAUGAGAUCAAAAGAUACGUAGACGCGAGGUGGGUUACUCCUCCAGAGGCGAUGUGGAAGAUAUUUGGCUUCCCCUUGUGUGCCAAUGACCCGCCUAUCCUAUAG
rnacentral:rRNA from 1 species